ensembl:lncRNA
AGGGAAUCCUGGAAAGGGAGCAUUUCAGGACAUCUAGGUCUGCAGAGGUCAUUGUGCUACUUAUCUAGCGGAUAUUUUUGCUCUGGAAAUCUAGGAUGGAUUUAGGUUUUGUGGUUCCUAAAGCUGAUCAAGUUUAGAGGACCAUCCGCAAGGAAAAUAAUAUAAAAUUAGAGAAGAAUGUAGCUGCUUACUUCCAGCUCCUUGCCCGACCUUGGGAUGAACCCACACGAGUAAGUGGUGCUGAAGCCUCCACUGCAUUAACUUCAUGAUGAAUCCCACUUUUCUAGAAGGGGAAGCACCAGAAACAAGGAAGUAACUUUAGACUAAGCAGAACUGAGGGUGGAGGUUGAGUGGAGUUGAG